GAGUCCUACGGGGCGCAGCAGUGGGGAAUAUUGCACAAUGGGGGAAACCCUGAUGCAGCGACGCCGCGUGAGCGAUGAAGUAUUUCGGUAUGUAAAGCUCUAUCAGCAGGGAAGAAAAUGACGGUACCUGACUAAGAAGCCCCGGCUAACUACGUGCCAGCAGCCGCGGUAAUACGUAGGGGGCAAGCGUUAUCCGGAUCUACUGGGUGUAAAGGGAGCGUAGGCGGCUGUGCAAGUCUGAAGUGAAAUGCCGGGGCCCAACCCCGGAACUGCUUUGGAAACUGUACAGCUAGAGUGCAGGAGGG
rnacentral:rRNA from 1 species